GAAUGGAAUUAAUGAAUUCCAAUAAUGGAAUUAUUUCUCGCUUCUUCCCCUCACCCCAUAUGUACUCCAAGACCCUAAUCUUAUAAUAUUAAGUUGAUUUUGUGGUAUAGGGGAAGAAAUGACCUAACAGCUAAUACCUAGUGAGUACUGCCUUCAGGCUACACAGACAUUGAAUUACAACUAACACCUCAGGCACGUUAUGUAUGAUACGAUUUCCCAAACUUCAGACCAUGUUGUAAACUAUCCAAAGUCAAGCUGGACACCUACUCCCAAAGCAGACACUUUCAGAGCAAUAACAGUAGCAAAGAGAUCUGAUGCUGACGGAGGUCCUGUGGCCACACCCUACACAGGAAAGUUUCACUCUACGUGAGCAACAUUCCAGAGGCAGGAUUAGGUAUCAUGAAGUCAGAAAUGGCUUUGGACACAAUACAUAGGGAACCCACCCUCAGGUUCCAUCCCAAGGAAAUCCAGCCAGUAGUGCAAAAGAAACAGUAGUUACAACAUCACCGUUGUGCAACUCCUAGAGAAACAAUGAAUCCAGAGAAGAAUUAAGAAUAUACAUAUUACAAACAGGGAUGCUUUAGGUUAAUGGAAAUUUUGUAAUGGGUGGAUGAGGCUGACAAACUGAAUCCACUGAUCAAUCUUAACAGCAUCAAAAAAUGCACAGCCAGGUAUUAGAAAGUACACUACAACCUAUGAAAUAUUCUUGCUCUCCAUGGCCAAGGAAUCCUAACUUACUCAAGUAUCUAGUAUCUAACUACUAGUUUACAGUAAAUAUUAGAGCUAGAGAAACAAAUUAAAUGACACCACAAGGAAGCAAUUGGCAAAUUCCAGAACUUUACGAAUUCUACAGGACAAACGACCUGUUUUCUUUAACAACAACAACAACCAAAAAGUGUGUGGAAAUAAAACAGGAAGAUAAGUUCCUAAUGAUUAAAAAAGACUUAAGGAGCAAAUCAACCAAAUACAGUGUGUGAACAUUAUUUGCAUCCUGAUUUGUACAAACCAACUAUAAGAAGGUGUUUUUUGAGGAAUCCUGAGAAAGCCAAAUAU